UUUUCACCGGAGCUUGCUCCACCGGAAAAAGAGGAGUGGCGAACGGGUGAGUAACACGUGGGUAACCUGCCCAUCAGAAGGGGAUAACACUUGGAAACAGGUGCUAAUACCGUAUAACAAUCAAAACCGCAUGGUUUUGAUUUGAAAGGCGCUUUCGGGUGUCGCUGAUGGAUGGACCCGCGGUGCAUUAGCUAGUUGGUGAGGUAACGGCUCACCAAGGCCACGAUGCAUAGCCGACCUGAGAGGGUGAUCGGCCACAUUGGGACUGAGACACGGCCCAAACUCCUACGGGAGGCAGCAGUAGGGAAUCUUCGGCAAUGGACGAAAGUCUGACCGAGCAACGCCGCGUGAGUGAAGAAGGUUUUCGGAUCGUAAAACUCUGUUGUUAGAGAAGAACAAGGAUGAGAGUAACUGUUCAUCCCUUGACGGUAUCUAACCAGAAAGCCACGGCUAACUACGUGCCAGCAGCCGCGGUAAUACGUAGGUGGCAAGCGUUGUCCGGAUUUAUUGGGCGUAAAGCGAGCGCAGGCGGUUUCUUAAGUCUGAUGUGAAAGCCCCCGGCUCAACCGGGGAGGGUCAUUGGAAACUGGGAGACUUGAGUGCAGAAGAGGAGAGUGGAAUUCCAUGUGUAGCGGUGAAAUGCGUAGAUAUAUGGAGGAACACCAGUGGCGAAGGCGGCUCUCUGGUCUGUAACUGACGCUGAGGCUCGAAAGCGUGGGGAGCAAACAGGAUUAGAUACCCUGGUAGUCCACGCCGUAAACGAUGAGUGCUAAGUGUUGGAGGGUUUCCGCCCUUCAGUGCUGCAGCUAACGCAUUAAGCACUCCGCCUGGGGAGUACGACCGCAAGGUUGAAACUCAAAGGAAUUGACGGGGGCCCGCACAAGCGGUGGAGCAUGUGGUUUAAUUCGAAGCAACGCGAAGAACCUUACCAGGUCUUGACAUCCUUUGACCACUCUAGAGAUAGAGCUUCCCCUUCGGGGGCAAAGUGACAG
rnacentral:rRNA from 1 species